rnacentral:lncRNA from 10 species
UCUCGCUGCGUUGCUCAGACUGGUCUCGAACUCCUGGGCUUAAGGGAUUCUCCUGCCUCAAUCACAGCCUCCCAAGUAGCUGAGAUUAAAAGUGCUCACCACCGUGCCAGCGAGUUCAGUUUUUGAGGUAAAAACAAGUGCACUCAAAAAGAAAAACACUGACAAAUGUGUUAGAGUGGAGCAUAUUCCAAAUAAGAAUCACAAGCCUCGAAGAGGGGCUUCUGGAGAGUUCAGAGACUUACAGGCUAAAGAUGACAGACCUCGAAGUGAGCCAGACCCACUGUGUACAGAGGCUGGAUUUGGUCAGGCAGUUUCUUGGGACUCAAAAGAAGUAGAAUCAAACCAGAAACAAAAGAACAAAAUUUCCAGAAAUGCUGGGGUCUUGGGUGUGCAGACUGAUCAGGAUUGAGUGCUGUUGCCCAGUUCUGGGUCUUCUUUUUCUCCCCCAGCUUUAUAGAGAUGUAAUUGACAAAAAUUAUAUAUAUUUAAGGCAUGCAAUGUGAUUUUUGAUAUGUGUAUAUAUUGCAAAAUGUUCACCACACUCAAGCUGAUUAUCUAACAUAUCCAUCACCUCACAUAGUUCCUUUUUUUUUUUUUUCCUUCAAGACAGGGUCUCACUGUGUCAUCCAGGCUGGAAUGCAAUGACGUGAUCUUAGCUCACUGCAACCUCCGCCUCCUGGGCUAAAGGAAUCCUCUUGCCUCAGCCUCCCGAGUAGCUGGGACUACAGGGACAUACCACCACAUCUGGCUAAUUUUUUGUAUUUUCAGUAGAGGCAGGGUUUUGCUGUAUUGCCCAGGCUGGUCUCAAACUCCUGGGUUCAAGUGAUCUGCCCACCUGGGCCUCCCAAAGUCAAUUUUUUUUUUUUUUUUUUUUUUUGGUGAGAACAAUUAAGAUCUACUCUCAGCAAAUUUCAAAUACACAAUACACUAUUGCUAAUUGUAGUCACCAUUAGAUCUCCAGAACUUAUUCUGCAUAUCUGGAACUUUGUACCCUUAGACCAACCUGUUCCCAUAUCCCCCAUCCUCCAGCCCCUGGCAACCACCAUUCUACUCUCUGCUCCUAAGCAUCUGACUUUUUUUAUAUUCCACAUAUUAGUGAGAUGUGUGCAGUAUGUGUUCAAGGAGAUUUUAAAUUAUUUUUGCAAAGGAAUUUCCUGUGCAAUAUGCUAUUUGAUUGCCAAAACAAGACUGUGAAUUCAGUGCAGGACAAUGUGAAUCACUCUACUCUAUAGAUGAGAACUGAGGCUCAUACAGUCCUCUAGUUAGCAGCAAGACAAAGGUCAAAAGGCAAGCCUCUUAGGCUCUGUUAUCUGAACUAACAGAGAACUGUAUUCCAACUAUUGGUAACUUCAUUCAGAUAAUUUCACCCUCUGUAAGAAAUAACACUGAACACUUAUUGAGCACUUACCUUAUAAGCAUAGUAGUUCAUGUAAUCCUCGCCACAAACUGAGAAGUCAAUCUAUGUGGGUUCCUUCCAUUUCACAGAUAAGGGGAAAUUGGAGCUCAGAGAUUUAAGCCACCUGCCAGAGGUCACAUGGCCCAUAAAAGAUCUGUCCCAUUCCACCAAGGAUUUAAGGCUAAAGAUUUAAGUUGUGAAGAUGAUAAUGGAUUGACUCUAUGAAUGGCCACAUUUUUUUAUGCCUCCCUUUUCCCUUGUCCUCGGGCAGUGUCCUCCGACACUGACUCUGUGCUUGGCCCUGUGACUUGCUUUGGCCAAUGGUACAGCAGCAAACUUGAUGCAAACACAACUUGAAAAAGAAGAGGACAGCCAAGUCAUCCCAGCCAAGGCCACCCUGGACCAGCCAGCCUCUUGCCAAGCUGCCAGUGACCACAGAGUCCAAUUAACAACAGCCAGUCCUGGCCCAGGGUGGAGCCAAGACUCUGAGGAGAGGGCUGAACUGUGAACCUAGAAGUACCAUCUCCCCCUGCACACACCUUUGGUCAAGUUGACCCCAAGAAGAAGGACAAGUCCUCUGCACGGCGAUGAGGCCAUACACACAGUCUGUGGCCCGGCUUUGGGAGACUGAUGGGACAAAGGAUGUUUUGCACGAUCCUUGGUCUCUGAGCAAAUAUAUACAUGGGUUAACACAAAGGCUCUCUUUUUGAAAAAUGUGACUGUGAAAGUGUGCCCUCCCAGAUAUUCCAGGCAUAACACAGGAGUGACUGCAUGUUUGGGGACAGUGCGGAGGCCACUCUGAUUAGAUCAGAGGAUGUGGACUGGUUCAUGAUGUAAAAGCUGAAGGGAGGCCGGGCACAGUGGCUCACGCCUGUAAUCCUAGCACUUUGGGAGGCCAAGGUGGGUGGAUCACGAGGUCAGGAGAUCGAGACCAUCCUGGCUAACAAGGUGAAACCCCG